UACGGAGGGUGCGAGCGUUAAUCGGAAUUACUGGGCGUAAAGCGCACGCAGGCGGCUGCGUAAGUCAGAUGUGAAAGCCCCGGGCUUAACCUGGGAAUUGCAUUUGAAACUGCGCAGCUAGAGUGUGGGAGAGGAAAGUGGAAUUCCCGGUGUAGCGGUGAAAUGCGUGGAUAUCGGGAGGAACACCAGUGGCGAAGGCGACUUUCUGGACCAACACUGACGCUCAGGUGCGAAAGCGUGGGGAGCAAAC
rnacentral:rRNA from 1 species